rnacentral:misc_RNA from 1 species
GAACGCACAUUGCGCCCGCUAGUAUUCUGGCGGGCAUGCCUGUUCGAGCGUCAUUUCAACCAUCAAGCCCCCCGUGCUUGUGUUGGAGCCCUGCGGCUGCCGCAGGCUCCCAAAUGCAGUGGCGGGCUCGUCGUCGUACCGAGUGCAGUAAACAUCCUCGCUCAGGGCACGCGUCGGGUUCCGGCCGUUAAACUCCCAACUUUACAAGGUUGACCUCGGAUCAGGUAGGAAUACCCGCUGAACUUAAG